CAUACAUAUAUAAAGGUAAAUUAUGGAUCAAGCAUGUUUUUCUCAUCUCAUGCACAAUGGGUAUUGUGACUUGUGCAAGAAGUUUCAGGUGGCAUUUAUUUUCCUUUGCAUUGAACAUGCAUACACAGGACAGAAGCAUAUGUUCAAUUCCACAUCCACACUGAGAUUCCUCCAAAAUAUCUUAAUUAGGUAAUCAAGAAUAAAAGUUCUAGAUAUGCAAUUAAAAUCAAAGUAUUUUCCAUUUUUUUUUCUUUUUUUGCCAGUUUAUUUUUUCCCUCUCUUCUUUUAAAAUGAUUUUAGACAAUGAAAAAGUCACCGUGACAUAAAGCAUCUGUAAACUGCACAGAGACUGCAUAGGUUACAGAAAUUACAGUGGGGACAGCUUUGUGCCAAAAUGAAGUCUGCUUCUGUCACAUCACUGUGUGAAACCACAACACUCCAAAAUGGAAAUUAGCAGAGAUUUACAGAGAUUCCCCUAAGCCAGCAUCAUUGAUGUUCGUAAGGGUAGGAUUUGGCCCCGAGUGAAAAAUCUGAUUUAUUGAGUCGUUGUGACUGAGCAACUUGCAAGCAACUGGAAAAUGUUUCCCUUUAGGGACCACAAACCUGGGCCUCCUUCCUCCUUCCACCUCUGCAUUGACUACAGUCUCAAAGACCUUUUUCCCUUCCCUAAAAUUUUGUGAGCGUGCCAGACUAAAGACAGCCCAUCCAGACAAGCCUCUGGCAGCCUCAGGAGAGGGCUCUCAUCCCGCCUGCCUGGGCAGGGGCAGCAGCUCCUCUCGGGGGGCCCGGGGCUCCCCUCGGCAGGAGAUCCACAACCUCCACCACCUCCAAACAUUUGCAGCUCUCGGGAGCGGCGGCAGCAGGCAAUUUAUGGAAGAAAAUCCAGUCUCCCCCCUAGUGGUGGCAAGGAAAAUCCAGCAGGAGCUGCCUGAUCGAUCCCUCAAAAGCUGCUGUACUGUUGCCCUUGGGUCCACUUGGCCAUGCAGCUGGAAAUAAAUACAAGGAUAUUGUAAUGAGUUUUGCUGUGCAACUGGAGGACCCCGGAGCUCAGCUGCUCGGGAUUUCCAUUGUUCUUUCUGAGAAGCUGUGUUUCCAAAUGGAGCCACAUGGAUGCUGACACUGCAGUCCUUGAAGGCAUUAAGGCUCCAGGGUGUUUUUAUACUCUGUUUACAUCUGGGGAAACUGAGGCACUGAGUGUUGUCCUGGGCAGUGAGAACAUCUGCAGCAGGACAAGCUUUUCAUCCCUUGUCUUAACCUCUGUUCCACUAAGUCUUACAGGUAGGUGUGAGGCUGCCCCGCUUGUUUCUUCCUGGCUGAGGAACAGACGCUGUCUUUACACACUUUUGCCUUAUUACUUUCCUACAGUGGCAUCCAGCUGAGCAAUCCUCCUCUCUGCAAAGUUCUCUCAGACAUUUUGACCACAGUUGUGGCUCAGCACAAAGAUCCUCCUACUGCAAAGCAAUGCUCCUCACUGCCCAGGUGCCACACACACCAGCACCCACCCUCAGCCUAUAAAAAAAGGAGUCUCAAGAGGUCUUUAUGCCUGAGCCAAAAAGGAUAGCUAUUAAUUUGUGUCAUUGGGAAUAAAUGUCCCUUUUCCCCCCAUAAUCAUAACCUUGCAAAGCCCUACUGAAACAGUCAGUCCGAGUAGGAAAAUUCAGUAGUGAAGGACAGAGAUUGUGGGAUCUCUAGCUGAUGUGUGAGGGGAAAGAACCCAGAUUGCAGGAACUACUUCAUCCUGCAAGAGGAUGGUGGCAGGUAGAGCAGAUGAGUGGAUAUUCCAACCUGCUCAGCCUGGCAUCUAUUCCUUGCGCUCUGUUCUUUUCCCAACUGUUUCAUUUUAUUGUCUCUAAAUGUCCGGUUGUGGUUCUUUCUGUGUUAACAUUUGCCAAUCAUUUCUAGCCAAGAAAAAAUAGAGAUUAAAAUGAUUCAUGUUAAAUAGCUUCUGGGCAGCCUUUUGCAACAGUGAGGAACUUGGGGUCUUUUCACUAUAAUUACUUUGAAAUGUGACUUCCUUUUCCUGGAAAGGAGGGCUGGUCCAGUGAAUGAAAUACCCAGCUGGAGGCUGUAAAAGUUUUUGUUCAGUGACUGUUUCAACCACAAACCAUUCCAUAUAAAAACAAGAAAUUUAUUUAAUUCCCUUGUGCCUCAGUUUCCCCAGCCCUAAUUGUUCAUUAUUGACUUUUUAAUAAAUAGUUUUGAUGAAACAACAGUCCUUGGUGGAAAUUGUU